UCUUUGUUAGUAUAUCGGUUAGUACACGCGCCUGUCAUUGAGAUUCGCGCGUAAGCUGGGUUCGACUCCCAGACAGAGAG